UCGUUUUUUAUAUGUUAAUAAAUUAAUAAUGAAUCUAGUAUUUAUUUUAUAAUCAAUAUAAUAGUAAUUAUAUCCAAAUACUAUAGUUCUCUCUUUUUAAAUUAGUUUAAAAUAAAAAGAAAGGGGGAGAUAUAGAAUGUAGAUAUGGUAUUUUAAAAUUUCUUUGGGUGAGGGGAAGAUACUAUCAAGUAACAAAUCUCAAGACUCAAUCCAAUCACAGCCAUCAGACCAACACACAUUAGAAAAAGUUCAUUAAUAGCACAACACACAGGUAUAUACCAGGCCAUCUACACAGCCCCAAAACAUUGCUCUAGUUUUAUUGACAACAAUGAUGAGAGAAAAGGGGGAGGAGCCAAUUAUUGAUCGGUCAAGCCGUUAAUUAGGUCACACACUAAGCAUGCUAGUACGUUGAUGCUUUUUGUAUGUGUGUGCAACAGACACUGAGCGUGCUCUAAGAUACGUUUUUUUUUUGGUCAACUAGGUGGCUUGGAGAAGGCGGAAUUUAUCUAGAAUCUAGAUGUAUAGCCUGAUGCCUACUUAUGUACAGGUUAUCCUGUUGAAGAUGAGGAAUAUUAUAUUUAUUCUGAGCCUACUGAUCAUUCAAGUCUUAAGAUAUACACCACAUUUCAGAAGCCUCAGUUUGUGGCUGGAAUAUUUCUUUUGGCUAGUUACUGGUUUCAAAUUCCACCCCAAGUGUCAUGCAAAGUUAUCACAGGCUAUCAAUACAAUGGGACUUAUCAUGAAUAGGCAAAGGGAAUCCCCAAUGGCCACAAGUCAACAGGAAAUGAUGAGAUGUUCACUUACUGAUGAUAGUUUCUGAUGUAGGUCAACAGGCAAUGAUGAGAUGUGCAAUUAUUACAUCAUGUUCUACACAAAUAGUUCUGUAGCUGACUCAUCAGGAGAUUGUAAAUUCAAUGAACUUACACCACUGACAGGAGAUAACUUUCCCAAAGAUGUUAGUGUUCCACUUCCACCCAAUCCAGCUCUUGAAGAAGCAGCCAUAGGAUCUCACAACCAUCCAAGAGUAAAUCCCCCAGAACAAAACAAUGGAACUGUCCACUAAUGUGUAAAAAUGGUCAGUCCUCAAUAAUGUUUGCCUGGGCUAAGAAUGCUCCUCCAACUGUCAUGCCCAAAGGUCAUCAUCUAACUAAAGACCCUUAUAUA